ensembl:misc_RNA Y_RNA Y RNA
GGCUGGUCUGAUGGCAGUGGGUUAUCAGAACUUAUCAACAUUAGUAUCACCAAAGUUGGUAUACCACUCCCCCCCACUGCUAAAUUUGACUGGCUUUUU